CCUACGGGUUGCACCAGUGGGGAAUAUUGCACAAUGGGCGCAAGCCUGAUGCAGCCAUGCCGCGUGUGUGAAGAAGGCCUUCGGGUUGUAAGGCACUUUCAGCGGGGAGGAAGGCGAUAAGGUUAAUAACCUUGUCGAUUGACGUUACCCGCAGAAGAAGCACCGGCUAACUCCGUGCCAGCAGCCGCGGUAAUACGGAGGGUGCAAGCGUUAAUCGGAAUUACUGGGCGUAAAGCGCACGCAGGCGGUCUGUCAAGUCGGAUGUGAAAUCCCCGGGCUCAACCUGGGAACUGCAUUCGAAACUGGCAGGCUAGAGUCUUGUAGAGGGGGGUAGAAUUCCAGGUGUAGCGGUGAAAUGCGUAGAGAUCUGGAGGAAUACCGGUGGCGAAGGCGGCUUACUGGUCUGCAACUGACGCUGAGGCGCGAAAGCGUGGGGAGCAAACAGGAUUAGAUACCCUCGUAGUC
rnacentral:rRNA from 1 species